UUUGCCAAUAUAGUGUAGCUUGUCAAGAACCAAAACUAAUCUAUUCUUGUGUUCCGUUUAUUAAUUCACUUUGGUCCUUUUGAAAAUACUGUAACGUCUUUGCUUAAAGCGUGUUACACGACAACACGCGUGCUUUGAAAUCACGCCGUUAUCAUCUCGCAUCGCCUCCCGCAGCACAUCCUUCGCGAGCGGUGGCAUACGAGUGCAAACAAUAAGGCCUACACACAGAGGACCAGAGAGUAAAUAAGAGCACUCUCAGUGGAAUACGUCACACGGGGCUCCGUGGGGGCGGAGGGAGGGGCGGUGCUUCAGAAAACUCCAAAGUCGCCUGCAGAUAAUCCAACUCCCCGGUGUCCCCACACAAGUAAAUAUUCUCUUGGUCCCUGUGACUGUUCACAAGGAUUUAACGUUAAACAGGGGAGGAUAAACAUCGUGUUUUAUUCAUUAGAGCGUACGACAGAGGGCCCUCGGACGCCUCGGAAUAAAUAUUAAACAGAUAAGGUGUCCCGUCUGAUGUUACAGAGUAAAUCCCGACCGGUAAUAGACACAAGGCCGCACAUACUGUAUUUUUAUGUGUUUAUAUUUAGUCAUUAUGUGGUGUCUGCUCUUGUGUUUAUUAACACGCCGUAAAGGUGGAUGAGUCUCGCACGAGGGUGCAGACCACAGUCCACCCCUGUCGUCAGCCCUGCUAAGCAAGCCGCACGACAAACAUUUUGAUAAAUGGACUCACACGUUUAUUUUUUUACUUAUACACUAUAUCACCUUUAAAAUGCUAAUAUCGUAGACUGGUUCAGUUUUGGACUUGAGCCGAUCUGAUUCAGAGACCUGAGAGGACCAGGCUAAGAGCUAGUUUGAAACCAUGCAUCAGCUGCGUUCUGAACAAUAUAUUCUUAAUGGGAAAAUAAGUAAAUAGGAACAUCCUCAAACGCGAUUUAAGCGGAUAAUUGUGAAAAAAUUACAGGUGGCGACUAACAGCCGCACACCAGGCGAAUCAGAAUCUGAAUCAGAAUCAGCUUUACUGGGAAAGCAUGUUCGGAGACACACAAGGAAUUUCUUUGAAUGACCCUCACACAAAUACCAAUUUGCUGCAACUGAAAACCUGCGAUUCUUGGUGCUCCUUUUGGAAAGCAACAUUCUGAGGCUGCACAUAUACUGUGUUGUAUUAUUAUUUUUGGGGAACCACAAACAACAUGGUGCAAUUGUCAAGGAUGAAGCGGAUUGCCCUGGCCGCUGUAGCUAUUUUAUAAUUACACAAAGUGAGGAAGCAGGUGGGAAAGUGUGGCCAUUCGAGAGGCUUUUGUUUCCAUUCAUUCGUUGCGUUCGUGCAUUACGGCGACAGAGACUCUCCAUGCUUCGCUUUUUCAACCACAGGUGUAUAUGAAAUUAUAAAUAUAGUUACGCAUUAUUAUUAAACUCAAUAUAUGCUGUAUAUAUUCGCGGGAGUCAAUUGUAUGUCGCUUCAUACCAGGGAACUAGUGACCGCCAGUAAAUGUGAACGUUCACUUGAAACGAGCAAACUAAUAUUUUUCAACAAAUUCAAUUAAAAAAAAUAAUAAUAAUGAAAGCUUUGUCAUACUUUAUUCAGUGUGUUGAAAUUUCAGGAUGAGCCGAAAAUGCACGCUAACCUUUACGUGUGUACCUAAUUUGACCUUCGGUCGACUUCCUUUCGAGUGUCACAUAGUGUCAUCGGUCGUUUGCAACAGAGAGACUGGAAAACUCACAGAAAGGCAUAGAAGUGGACAUCCUUGGGAACCUUCACGAAUCAAACACCUGUUGUGAAUAUUGCCGUUCAGCUACUUAUAGUGUUAGACAACAGCCAGCUGUGCAAAACGUACUGAAACGUUGAACAGUUGGGCAUUCAAAAGUUUAGAGAAGGUCAAAUUAAGUUCACUUGGAAAGGUUAGAGUGCAUUUGAGGUUCAUCCUGAAAUUUCAGCACAAAGCCCAAUAUUCCUAACUUUUUAUGAGCACUGUAAUUCUGUGAUAAUGCGUUGCAAGAUAUUUUAUGGAUGAACAUAACAAUAUUUAUGAGCCCCAACACAAUCGAAAGCGUGAGAUGUGUUUAUUAACGUUAUUGUUGUCAAGAGUUUGACGACAACGCGCGAUCGAUAUUUGGCUCCUGCGCAUGGAUAACACAUUAAAAGAUGAAGUAUCACAACAUUAGAAGUGCCGUAAAAUGUCCAGGCUGAUUUAUUAUUCCUGCCGACUCAUCAAAUCUGAAUAAGUCUUGAGCGGUUGACGUUUAAGACGGAAGCAAAGGGUAAGAAUGUGAAUGACGUGGCACCCAAAGUGUCCGUGACAUUGAAGAGUUUCACAACUAUUUUGGUGCACAACUGUGACCCUAGAAGUUUGUGUGUGUGUGUGUGUGUGUGCUCUAAUGAGACUCUGCGUGACCUUCCAGGAGAACGCUGAUAAUGAUGACCCUGCUCCCGAAACUCACUGUGAUUUAGUGCUACAGUGACGUGCCUAAUUGUUACAUCCAUUAAAAGCGUCCUCGUAAGUGUCACAUUUGCUGUAGCCCUUCCUUUUAUUGCGUUCUGUUUGCCCGCAGGCUCCCCCUCGAGGUUCACACUUUUCUCGCACGUGCGCCUUGUUUGCAAGAGUUUACCUGCCAGCCCCAAACUCACCAAUGGAGCUGUACCAGCUCUGUGAAAAGGAGGAAAAAUAGCAUUUAUUCAAGACAAAUGUGUCAAGGUUUACACUCGUAUCCGAGUAAAACGGACCGCUCCUGACGGGGCGGGGCACGAUUUAAGUACGACUCUCCCUAAUUGGCCGCCCGGCCUGACGUCGUAUAUGAUGAUAAAUCUGGCGCAGGUGUCACCUCCUCGGCGGCAGGUGUUGACCAAGAAGACCAAGAAGCCGUUUGUCUCCUGAUGAUGACCUCACUACCUGUCUGGGGGUCAGCUUUGAGGAGGACCUAUCCCACUCGCUUCCUAAUGAGAGUGCUUAAAGAGGAGGAUGCUAUUCAUGUGGAACAGCUUGAAGCUGGCAUCAGGUGCAGGUGGAGAUGGGCCUGGCUCAAGUUGGAGGCCAAAACAAAAAAGCAAAGAAAUUAGGCAAAUUUUAUUCUAAUCUUAAA